UAAAAUACAAUAAAAACUCUAAAGUGGAAUAGACAUACCAAAACCGAACCGGUUAACCGAAUAUCCAUCCCAAUUUAUUCCAAUUCAUUUGUUUGCAUCUGGUUCUGUUUGAGUAAGAUAUAGUUAGCAAUUAGCGAGCACCAAGUUUAUGGUACACGCGAGUGUAGGAGAAAACUAUCCCUUGGCAUUUCCUCUUGCAAAUAGACUCAUUAGCUUCCACAACAAGUAACUUUUUCCAUUGGUGUCUGUGAAUAGCUUAUGAUCGAAAACGAGACUACAAGCUCUGAGACAAGUUAAAAAUAUAUUCUUUAAGGUCUUAACCUCAGAGAUUAGGUCAAAAUCUGUUCUUUCUCGUCUUGAGUCUUAAGGAUUUCGCUCUGGUAAGCUUAUCAAAGCUCUCUGCUUUAUGAUUUUCCCGUGAAAAUAAAUUGAGAAGCUUUCAUUUUUACCAUUUUUGUUCUUCAAUUUCUCACAUUUUUGUUCUUCAAUUUCUCUAUACAGCGGUCUAUAUCUGUACAGCGGUCUAUAUCUGUACAGUGAUCUACAUCCGUACAAUGUUCUAUAAUAUAAAAUUUAAAACAUUUUAAACAAAAUGCAUAUCAAAUGAUAGAGAAAAAAACAUAGAUUUUUAUUUAUAUGAUCAAUUUUAGAAAAAUAAAAUUUACUAAUGAGCACUUUAGUUAUUAAACAUUGAGGGAAUGUGUAAUAAAGAAAAAAAAGAAAUUUUUAAAAAAAACUUGACCCACUAAAUAUGCCCCACAUGUCUCUCUCUCUCUAACCCAACCAAAACCGACUAUAUUACUAAUUGUGAAUAGUAUAUGUACUACUUCUAUAAUUAAAUUUCAGAAACGUACUAGUCUUCAAACAAACUCUUUUUGUUUUUGGGCACGUGUUGACCAGAAGAAGUUUAUUGAGAAAGAGACUAAGGAAAAUGGUGUCGAAGUUUCAUCAACUCCUGAAAAUGCGAUGCUUAAGAGAAGUCAAUGGAAAUUAGAGUUGUUGAAACAAGGUACAUUCACGUGCCUUGUUUUUCUUCUUAAUGUUCAACUCAUAUUCAAUCAACUUCUGAUACAUAUAGAUUGAAUUUGUAUUUGGUGUACUUGUCUCAAACCAUUUAACUUUUAUUGAUUUAGUUGUUAGACCAGCACGCAAACAAAAACUAAAAGAAUUCUCACAUGGUUAGGGAAACAAUACAGAUCCCAAUAUAA
rnacentral:sRNA from 1 species